rnacentral:misc_RNA from 1 species
ACAAUAGUAUUUAUAUCUCCAAAAUUUUAAUUUAAUUUAUCGAGGCCAAAAUUUUUCGGAUUUAGAAAGCACGAUGUAAACAUUGGGGUUCAGGUGUGGUGGGAAGCCUCGCCCUCGGCCAAGACUAUUCAAUAUUACUGUCAUAUAUAAGGGAGUUUUGACAAGUUUGGCUACGUUACGACGCCUUUUGUAUAGUGCUUGAGCUGAUAUAACAUGGCAAAGCGACCAAAAGUUGUUUUGGAUGAACCUUCUGGGACCAUAUGGCCAGAAAACUUCAAUUUAUUAUCACAGAAGACUUCUUCAAAACUCUUACCUGUGCUGGAGGUAAUUGGAACGGGUAGCCCGCAGUCUGCAGUCCUGAGCUGCCAUUGCUCCUACUUGGCCAUCGUCACACGGGGUGAAGAUGCUUCAAUCCUACUCUUCAUUGUCAGUAUGACUGAAAAAAAAUUCUAUCUGCUGAAAAAAAUAAAUGCGCUGUGCACAGCUUUGACAUUUCACCCAUACCAGGAGAACACCCUCAUUCUUGCUUCAGCCUCCUGUAAAGUGUAUAGGAUUAAUGUAGAUGAUGGUUCUGUGAUACCAAUGGAAGGGCAUACGUCACCUGCUGAAGCAAUCCAGUUAGGGGCACGCUCCCCACUAGUCAUAACCCAUAAUGCCCAUGAAGUAUUACUCUGGUCGUGGCCAUCAGUAUCCCUCACCAGUAGGAUGCGACACGAUGAGACCGUGACAGUUGUCUGGGCUGGCCAUGUGUGGCAGAGAGAUGAGCUGGUGGUGAGCUUCAUCAAUGGCAGUGUUCUCAUCUGGGUGUCGCACACACGAAACAUUCAGGUCCACAUUGAGCCGCCCAAGGGUUUAGAUUUUGAUUUUAAAGCAUUUGUCCUAUCCAGGGGAGGUGAAUGGCUGGUGGGAGGGGGCAAGAGUCACCUCCUAGUUACAUACUCUCUCAUCAGCCGGAGUGUUGCACAGGUGGUCCAGCUGCCAGCAUCGUGCUCAGAUGUCUACCAGCCAGUCUUCCUCCCUUCAGUCCAUCCAAACUAUUCCCAGGUCUUGGCCCUGCUAAACUCUACUGGUGUGUUAAACAUCAUUGAUUUCACAACUGCCACAAAGCUCAAAACUAUAAGGUCCCAGAGAUUUAAUAUUGAUAUGGUGAAUGUGAGCGAUGAUGGCAACUUCUUGGCUGUGACUUUUGCCAAUUGUAUUACAAAAAUUUAUGCAGUAAGAGCACUUUUUCCUGAAGAUCCCAAAAAUGUUUCAAUCCCUCAAAUAACAAAAGAAGAGGUAGCAUUCAAAAUUGUAGAAAAAAGAGAAAAGGAGGAGCGUGAAGAAGAAAUCAGAAGACGCGACAGAAGGAAAAAGACAAUGGAAUUACAGGAACUACUUGACAAAAAUAAAUGGUACAAGAUUCUCCAGGAGUUCAACAGUUACCCAGAGAAGUAUAGACACUUGAUAUGGUUAUCUAUGCUCGAAGUUCCCCGCAACUACUCGGUAUUCAGCUCGCUGCUAGACAAAGGAACCCACACGUCAUUUGAAGGGCUCCAGGAGGUCCUACAACUGUCUGAUGGAACACUGUUGCGAACACUUCAAGGAACAUUGUCUUGCCUGGCACACUGGGCACCGUUCCUAUCCAGUGUGGAAUACCUCCCCGAGUUUGUGUUUCCAUUCGUCAAGAUGUUUCACAGUAACCGCCUGCUCUGUUUUGAGGUGACAGUUACAAUUAUUAUGAAUUGGUGUAAUUUAUGGUUUGAAUUCUGGCCAAAACCUGGGAUAACAGUUCUCAAUGUGGUUGAGCAAAUUGUGUGUGAGGUAGAUCCCACAUUGCUUGCUCAUCUUACGAUGCUUAAAGUCACAGCUGAAGACUAUGCUUGGUCUUUGCUUACCACUGCAUUUUCUAAAGUUUUGUCAACGAGUGACUGGUUAGUGUUAUGGGACCACAUUCUAUCAAACCAGCUCUCCUUCCUGCCAUGCGUCACAGCAGCAUUCACAUUAAGAUCCCGGAAAACGCUCUUCACUUGCAGUGAUGCUAAUGAAGUCAAGGUGAGGGCAGAUGUAUUAUUGCCAAGAGUCAUGGGUGCCCAUAAAACAAGUGCUAGACAAAGCCUAUGUCUUACAUAGCAAACUGAGUGAAGCAUCUCUUCCCAAGAAUAUUUUUGGAACCUUCACUCCAGUGCCCCGGAAUGGUCUACCUCUCUUCAGUAUUGGACCCAGAGAUGCCCGUCAUGAGGAGAUUGAGAAUAUGGAAAGAGAGUUUAGCCAGCUGCACUUGCGCACGCAGCAUCCAAGCCAAAGGGGUUCAGCUCCAGGUGCUGUACAUCAAGAAAAAGAAGAAGAUAUGG